rnacentral:rRNA from 1 species
UACGUAGGGUGCAAGCGUUAAUCGGAAUGACUGGGCGUAAAGGGUGCGCAGGCGGCCUGUUAAGACAGAGGUGAAAUCCCCGGGCUUAACCUGGGAACUGCAUUUGUGACUGCACAGCUGGAGUGCGGCAGAGGGGGAUGGAAUUCCGCGUGUAGCAGUGAAAUGCGUAGAUAUGCGGAGGAACACCGAUGGCGAAGGCAAUCCCCUGGGCCUGCACUGACGCUGAUGCGCGAAAGCUAGGGGAGCGAACGGG